GGGGUUGUAGCCGUCGGGCGUCUCGUCCGGCGCGCACGCCCCCUCGUUUCAAAUCCCACAAACACUUUUGUGCACCAUAGGUCUCGUGCCCCCCAUGAGGAGACGCCUCGCGAGAGCGGGGCUGGGGUCGUGUACCUCUUCAUUACAUCCGGUCUCGACGCAUGUGUAUCGCUUCGGCGAGAUUGAUAAUAAUACAACUUUCAACAACGGAUCUUUUGGCUUUCGCAUCGAUGAAGGACGCCGCGAAAGUGCGAAACGUAAUGUGAAUUGCAGAAUUCAGUGAAUCAUCGAAAUCUUUGAACGCAUCUUGCGCCCCUUGGUAUUCCGAGGGGCAUGCCUGUUUGAGCGUCGUGAACUUCCAUCGACCCUCGACCUUGUAAUGAGGUCUCGGGGCGGAUUUGGGCGCUGCGGGUCCCGUUCGCGGUCCGCUCGCCUUGAAAUGCAUCAGCCGGUCUCUAAUGCCUCGGUCUGACGGCGGCGUGAUAAGGUGYUCGUGCCGUAAUCGUCGUCUGGGAUCGGGGGCGUUGCGCGAGGCCCCGGCUUCUAAUGGUCUUCGGACGAACUUCAUUGCGAUCUGACCUCAAAUCAGG
rnacentral:rRNA from 1 species